rnacentral:rRNA from 1 species
GAUGAACGCUAGCGGCAGGCUUAACACAUGCAAGUCGAGGGGCAGCAUGAAGGUUAGCAAUAACCUUUGAUGGCGACCGGCGCAAGGGUGCGUAACGCGUGAGCAACUUGCCCGUUUCUGGGGGAUAACCGGUGGAAACGCCGACUAAUACCCCAUAGUAUUGAUUUCAGGCAUCUGUUAUCAAUUAAAGAACUUCGGAAACGGAUAGGCUCGCGUGACAUUAGCUAGAUGGCGGGGUAACGGCCCACCAUGGCGACGAUGUCUAGGGGUUCUGAGAGGAAGGUCCCCCACACUGGAACUGAGACACGGUCCAGACUCCUACGGGAGGCAGCAGUGGGGAAUAUUGGGCAAUGGGCGCAAGCCUGACCCAGCAACGCCGCGUGAAGGAAGAAGGCUUUCGGGUUGUAAACUUCUUUUGUCGAGGAAGAGUAGAAGACUGUACUCGGCGAAUAAGCCACGGCUAACUACGUG